GGGGAUUUAGCUCAGUGGUAGAGCGCGUGCCUAGCAAGUGCAAGGCCCUGGGUUCGGUCCCCAGCUCCG
rfam:Rattus norvegicus chromosome 6, whole genome shotgun sequence.